UGUGUGGGAGGGUGUGCACAUAUGCAUGUGAGCAAACACAUAAUCACUCACACACACACACACACACACACACACAUCUGCACUCAUCAUUU
rnacentral:miRNA from 1 species